rnacentral:rRNA from 1 species
GUGAACGCUGGCGGCGUGCCUAAUACAUGCAAGUCGAGCGAACGGACGAGAAGCUUGCUUCUCUGAUGUGCGGCGGACGGGUGAGUAACACGUGGAUAACCUACCUAUAAGACUGGGAUAACUUCGGGAAACCGGAGCUAAUACCGGAUAAUAUUUUGAACCGCAUGGUUCAAAAGUGAAAGACGGUCUUGCUGUCACUUAUAGAUGGAUCCGCGCUGCAUUAGCUAGUUGGUAAGGUAACGGCUUACCAAGGCAACGAUGCAUAGCCGACCUGAGAGGGUGAUCGGCCACACUGGAACUGAGACACGGUCCAGACUCCUACGGGAGGCAGCAGUAGGGAAUCUUCCGCAAUGGGCGAAAGCCUGACGGAGCAACGCCGCGUGAGUGAUGAAGGUCUUCGGAUCGUAAAACUCUGUUAUUAGGGAAGAACAUAUGUGUAAGUAACUGUGCACAUCUUGACGGUACCUAAUCAGAAAGCCACGGCUAACUACGUG